UUGGCCUCAAAUUAGGUAGGAAUACCCGCUGAACUUAAGCAUAUCAAUA
rnacentral:rRNA from 1 species